rnacentral:rRNA from 1 species
CUGGCGGCGUGCCUAAUACACGCAAGUAGAACGCUGAAGAGAGGAGCUUGCUCUUCUUGGAUGAGUUGCGAACGGGUGAGUAACGCGUAGGUAACCUGCCUGGUAGCGGGGGAUAACUAUUGGAAACGAUAGCUAAUACCGCAUAAAAUUGAUUAUUGCAUGAUAAUUAAUUGAAAGAUGCAAUUGCAUCACUACCAGAUGGACCUGCGUUGUAUUAGCUAGUUGGUGAGGUAACGGCUCACCAAGGCGACGAUACAUAGCCGACCUGAGAGGGUGAUCGGCCACACUGGGACUGAGACACGGCCCAGACUCCUACGGGAGGCAGCAGUAGGGAAUCUUCGGCAAUGGGGGGAACCCUGACCGAGCAACGCCGCGUGAGUGAAGAAGGUUUUCGGAUCGUAAAGCUCUGUUGUAAGAGAAGAACGGGUGUGAGAGUGGAAAGUUCACACUGUGACGGUAUCUUACCAGAGAGGGACGGCUAACUACGUGCCAGCAGCCGCGGUAAUACGUAGGUCCCGAGCGUUGUCCGGAUUUAUUGGGCGUAAAGCGAGCGCAGGCGGUUAGAUAAGUCUGAAGUUAAAGGCUGUGGCUUAACCAUAGUAUGCUUUGGAAACUGUUUAACUUGAGUGCAGAAGGGGAGAGUGGAAUUCCAUGUGUAGCGGUGAAAUGCGUAGAUAUAUGGAGGAACACCGGUGGCGAAAGCGGCUCUCUGGUCUGUAACUGACGCUGAGGCUCGAAAGCGUGGGGAGCAAACAGGAUUAGAUACCCUGGUAGUCCACGCCGUAAACGAUGAGUGCUAGGUGUUAGGCCCUUUCCGGGGCUUAG